rnacentral:lncRNA from 1 species
ACAAUGUGAUCAACACUGCAGAAGGGAAGCAGGGCAGAUGGUGAGCUCCUACUCCUAGGCCACAUCUACCUUAGCAGAGGAGAGCAUUCUGUACAGCCUUGGGGCGAGUGGGAGAGAUACUCAGGAGUCAGCAGAGCUUGACCACAGAAGGGAGAGGAAACAGAAGAAUGGCCCAGAACAGGAGGCAGUCUGCUGAGCUCGCUACAGCCAGAGAACCUCACCAGACACAGAGCACAGUCUCAUCUUCCUGCCUGGAGUCGGCCAGCACCAGGAGCAACCCUCAGGCCUUCCUAGCUCUCCAGCCUCCUGCUCCCUCUCUACCUCAGCUCCAGCACAGAUUUCCUCACCCCUGGAGUUCCUUCUUCUUCCUCCAUUUCCACUUGCUCUACCCCUGUCCUGCCUGAAGAAUAGAUUUUGCAGGCAAAUAAAGUGUUAAAUAUACAA